UACGAAGGGGGCUAGCGUUGUUCGGAUUUACUGGGCGUAAAGCGCACGUAGGCGGAUCGUUAAGUCGGGGGUGAAAUCCUGGAGCUCAACUCCAGAACUGCCUUUGAUACUGAAGAUCUUGAGUUCGGGAGAGGUGAGUGGAACUGCGAGUGUAGAGGUGAAAUUCGUAGAUAUUCGCAAGAACACCAGUGGCGAAGGCGGCUCACUGGCCCGGUACUGACGCUCAGGCGCGACAGCGUGGGGAGCAAACAGG
rnacentral:rRNA from 1 species